GUCUUCGUGGUGUAAUGGUUAACACACUCGGUGCGUAUUCGAGAGGUCCGGGUUCGAGUCCCGGACGGGGCA
rnacentral:tRNA from 1 species